rnacentral:rRNA from 1 species
GUGGGGAAUAUUGGACAAUGGGCGAAAGCCUGAUCCAGCCAUGCCGCGUGAGUGAUGAAGGCCUUAGGGUUGUAAAGCUCUUUCAGUAGGGAAGAUAAUGACGGUACCUACAGAAGAAGCCCCGGCUAACUUCGUGCCAGCAGCCGCGGUAAUACGAAGGGGGCUAGCGUUGUUCGGAUUUACUGGGCGUAAAGCGCACGUAGGCGGAUUGGUCAGUUAGAGGUGAAAUCCUGGAGCUCAACUCCAGAACUGCCUUUAAUACUGCCAGUCUAGAGUCCAGAAGAGGUGAGUGGAAAUCCUAGUGUAGAGGUGGAAUUCGUAGAUAUUAGGAAGAACACCAGUGGCGAAGGCGGCUCACUGGUCUGGUACUGACGCUGAGGUGCGAAAGCGUGGGGAGCAAACAGGAUUAGAAACCCCUGUAGUCC